rnacentral:snoRNA from 1 species
CUUCAGUGAUGAUACGCUGACGAGUCGGAACGGGGCACAGUCUGUCUCGGGGGGGUCACUGAGUCAGGGUCACGUUUUGUGUGUCUGGGCCCAGUUCCUUCAGUUAAAGACAUAGAGGCAUUUGUCUAAGAAGA